rnacentral:rRNA from 1 species
CAGUAGCCACGGUAAUACAGAGGGUGCGAGCGUUAAUCGGAUUUACUGGGCGUAAAGCGUGCGUAGGCGGCUUUUUAAGUCGGAUGUGAAAUCCCUGAGCUUAACUUAGGAAUUGCAUUCGAUACUGGGAAGCUAGAGUAUGGGAGAGGAUGGUAGAAUUCCAGGUGUAGCGGUGAAAUGCGUAGAGAUCUGGAGGAAUACCGAUGGCGAAGGCAGCCAUCUGGCCUAAUACUGACGCUGAGGUACGAAAGCAUGUGGAGCAAACAGGAUUAGAUACCCCUGUAGUCCCUGUCUCUUAUAC